GUCGGCCUCGCAAACCAACCAUACCUACAGUAAGCACAUCGCUAUUAUUAUCUGAAUUUUUUUAUUCCAUUGAUUUUCAUAGCAUGCUGUUGGACAUUGAUUUUGCUAAAAAUUUUGACAUUGAUUUCCAUAGCAUGCUAUUUGACACUGUCGGCCUCGCCAGUGAGAGUAUUGAGGCUUGAUUGCUUCCGAGCACUCAGCUGUGGUGAAAUAAGUGAGCUUUUCUUUGAUUUGUUGGCCCUGCAUUUUGGGAGCAGAUACUUGUUUUUGGAGCAUUCUUUUUCUAGGAAUUAUCCGAACCGGCUUUGGAACAUCCUUGGCUUCCCUGCGGCCUCCAGGUUUUUGUGUUUUCCAUAUUGUUUAGUUUGCAAAUCUGUAGCGAAUUGUCAUGCACCCUCCUUGGUUUUGGUUGCUUCAAUUGCUUGUGUUUGCUGCAGGAUUUGAUACUGUUCAGGUCUAUAUUGGGAAGGGAGUUGGUGUAGUAUGUGCACCUACUACAGUCAUAGAGUGCAUAUUUAGUCCGUUAGAGGUCCAUAUUAAGUUGGGUUUUCCCAUUGGGGGUUGAUGUGUUCAAAUUUUUGCAGAACAGGUAUAGGUUUCUUGAUGUCUGAUGUUGUGCCGUCGUGAUCUUUCAGAUCUCAGGUAAAGAUUUAACUCAGGCAUGUAUUUUAAUGACAUUUCAUUUAUUUUUUACUAUUUAGCUCAAGAUUGGUAUAGUAGACAGAGGGAGUAGCUUUUUAGGUUUUGUUUCCAUAUAUAUAAUUCCUGCUAUUUUCUAUGGGUGUACUGAUGUUUAGGCCAGGUAUCUGUGGAUACAAGUAAUGAGAAUUGGCGGCGCAAGAAGAAUGCAGAGGUAGUUGAAUAUCAUAUGCUUGAGGAUCUCCAAACACAUUUGAUAUUUCCAGGUUAGCUACUUUGUUUAAAAACACAUCAAAUGGUGCCGUGUAUUGCCAAGAAUCAUAGCAAGGGCUUUUUACAGUUCUAUGAAUACCAGGUCUUGUGAAUAUUUUGGAGUUGCUGACCUGAACAGCCUGUAUGAUUAAUGUAAGCAUGUUCUUUCGUCCAAAAAGAACUACAAUAAACAGUAUUGUGCAGCGUCCGGACAUAAACAGUAUCUGUUUGGGUCUAGCACAACAAAUUAACCGGACAAGCCCUAAGUUAUCCCAAUAAAAUGUCAUCCAUUGCAGCUAUAGAUUUUGUCUGCAUGUGAAAUUUCAUGUCUUAUUGUAACAUUGGCCGAGACGUGCAUUGCACGUGCAC
rnacentral:lncRNA from 1 species